rnacentral:ncRNA from 1 species
GCGUGUGGGGGGGAACGCGGGGAAGUGAAACAUCUCAGUACCCGCAGGAAGAGAUAUUCCGUGAGUAGUGGCGAGCGAAAAGCGGGACGAGGGCUAAAACCCGGGGGGGGUGUGUGACAGCCCGGGCGGGGCGUUGCACCCCUCGGGGGGUCUGGGGACCUGCUGACCCAGUCUGCCCGGGGCUGGUGGGGGGAGUGAGAAAAGUCGCGGGUGUAGUCGAAACGGUCUGGGGAAGGCCGGGGCACAGUGGGGUGAGACCCCCCCGUAGACGAAAACGUCGUGGCCUCCCUUGCAGGGGAUCCCGAGUAGCACGGGGGCCCCGUGAAAAUCCCCGUGUGAAUCUGCCAAGACCACUUGGUAAGCCUAAAUACUACCUGGUGACCGAUAGCGGACAAGUACCGUGAGGGAAAGGUGAAAAGUACCCCGGGAGGGGAGUGAAAUAGUACCUGAAAC